rnacentral:rRNA from 1 species
AGGAUGAACGCUGGCGGCGUGCUUAACACAUGCAAGUCAAGGGGGCCCAGCAAUGGGUAACCGGCGAACGGGUGCGUAACACGUGAGCAACCUACCGAAUUGUGGGGGAUAGCCGGCCCAACGGCCGGGUAAUACCGCAUACGCUCGAGACGAGGCAUUUCGACUCGAGGAAACCUACGGGACAUUUCGAGGGGCUCGCGGCCUAUCAGCUAGUUGGUGAGGUAACGGCUCACCAAGGCGACGACGGGUA